AUUGAACGCUGGCGGCAUGCCUAACACAUGCAAGUCGAACGAGUGGCGGACGGGUGAGCAAUGGCUGGGAACCUGCCUGAUGGAGGGGGAUAACUAGUGGAAACGGUAGCUAAUACCGCAUACCAUCCGAUGGGCCCAGAUGGGAUGAGCUGGUUGGUGGGGUAACGGCUCACCAAGGCGACGAUGCCUAGCUGGGCUGAGAGGAUGACCGGCCACACUGGGACUGAGACACGGCCCAGACUCCUACGGGAGGCAGCAGGGGGGAAUAUUGGGCAAUGGGCGAAAGCCUGAUCGAGCCAUGCCGCGUGGAUGAAGAAGGCUUUCGGGUUGUAAAGCUCUGUCGGCGGGGAGGCGGUACCCGCAGAAGAAGCGCCGGCUAACUACGUGCCAGCAGCCGCGGUAAUAC
rnacentral:rRNA from 1 species